rnacentral:rRNA from 1 species
CAAUAGCGUAUACUAAAGUUGUUGCAGUUAAAAAGCUCGUAGUUGGAUUUCUGGCUCGGCAAGCCUAGCCCGAGGACCUGGUGUCCUUGUGAGCUGGCGCUUGUCGGCCGUCCUUCAGGAGAGUGUUUCUGCCCUUGAUUGGGUUGGGGACAGGAUCCUGAUCGUUUACUUUGAAAAAAUUAGAGUGUUCAAAGCAGGCGUGUGCUGUGAAUACAUUAGCAUGGAAUAAUAAGAUAGGACUUCGGCCCUAUUUUGUUGGUUCUGGAGCUGAGGUAAUGAUUGAUAGGGAUAGUUGGGGGUGCUCGUAUUCAACGGCCAGAGGUGAAAUUCUUGGAUUCGUUGAAGACGAACUUAUGCGAAAGCAUUCACCAAGGAUGUCUUCUUUAA